rnacentral:rRNA from 1 species
UACAGAGGGGGCCAGCGUUAUUCGGAAUUAUUGGGCGUAAAGGGCGCGUAGGCGGCUUUGCGUGUCUUUCGUGAAAUCCCUCGGCUCAACUGAGGACGUGCGGAAGAAACUGCAGGGCUGGAGUCCGGGAGAGGAGGGUGGAAUUCCCAGUGUAGCGGUGAAAUGCGUAGAUAUUGGGAGGAACACCGGUGGCGAAGGCAGCCCUCUGGACCGGUACUGACGCUGAUGCGCGAAAGCCAGGGGAGCGAACGGG